rnacentral:rRNA from 1 species
AUGAACGCUGGCGGCGUGCCUAAUACAUGCCAGUCGAGCGAACAGAUGAGGAGCUUGCUCCUCUGACGUUAGCGGCGGACGGGUGAGUAACACGUGGAUAACCUACCUAUAAGACUGGGAUAACUUCGGGAAACCGGAGCUAAUACCGGAUAAUAUAUUGAACCGCAUGGUUCAAUAGUGAAAGACGGUUUUGCUGUCACUUAAAGAUGGAUCCGCGCCGCAUUAGCUAGUUGGUAAGGUAACGGCUUACCAAGGCAACGAUGCGUAGCCGACCUGAGAGGGUGAUCGGCCACACUGGAACUGAGACACGGUCCAGACUCCUACGGGAGGCAGCAGUAGGGAAUCUUCCGCAAUGGGCGAAAGCCUGACGGAGCAACGCCGCGUGAGUGAUGAAGGUCUUCGGAUCGUAAAACUCUGUUAUUAGGGAAGAACAAAUGUGUAAGUAACUAUGCACGUCUUGACGGUACCUAAUCAGAAAGCCACGGCUAACUACGUG